CCUACGGGAGGCAGCAGUGAGGAAUAUUGGUCAAUGGGCGCAAGCCUGAACCAGCCAAGUCGCGUGAGGGAAGACGGCCCUACGGGUUGUAAACCUCUUUUGCCGGGGAGCAAGCCUGAGCACGUGUGCCCAGGCGGAGAGUACCCGGAGAAAAAGCAUCGGCUCACUCCGUGCCAGCAGCCGCGGUAAUACGGAUGAUGCGCGCGUUAUCCGGAGUUAUUGGGGUUAAAGGGUGCGCAGGCGGGCUGUUAAGCCGGCGGUAAAAAUUCAGGGUCCAACCCUGUUGUGCCGUCGGAACUAGCAGUCGUGAGUGGGCGAGAAGUAUGCGGAAGGCGUGGUGUAGCGGUGAAAUGCAUAGAGAUCACGCAGAACGCCGAUUGCGAAGGCAGCAUACCGGCGCCCAACUGACGCUGAGGCACGAAAGCGUGGGGAUCGAACAGGAUUAGAUACCCUUGUAGUC
rnacentral:rRNA from 1 species